rnacentral:rRNA from 1 species
CUAGCCGUAAACGAUGGAUACUAGGCGUUGUGAGUAUCGACCCUCACAGUGUCGUAGCUAACGCGUUAAGUAUCCCGCCUGGGGAGUACGCGCGCAAGCGUGAAACUCAAAGGAAUUGACGGGGGCCCGCACAAGCGGUGGAGUAUGUGGUUUAAUUCGAUGCAACGCGAAGAACCUUACCAGGACUUGACAUGUCGCGAAUCUCAGGGAAACUUGAGAGUGCCUUCGGGAGCGCGAGCACAGGUGGUGC